rnacentral:lncRNA from 1 species
AACCACAACCUCACUUGCACUCAUCAGACAUAAACAACCCUAGAGAGCGACGAGCGUGUGUGCGCCUAGGCGUAACAUAAAACGCCCCAAUUUUUCACCAGCUUUCCCUCCAUGGUUUUCUGUUUCCCUCCACUCGCCCCCCUCUUCCCUCCUCCAUUUUGAGAUCUAAAAUCCAAAUCGCUCCCCCUUUUUCUUCUCCUCCCUCACUCGCACACCACCACCUCAUCCUCCACCACCAUUUCCUCGACUCGCUCUGCUUCUCCCGCCCCUUAACCCCUACUGCUGCUGCCGCCCAGUGGUAGCCGGCGCCGGCGGGAACAGCUAGCUGGAUUGCUAGAUCUGCUCGCCGCGGAUCGAGCGGCGCGUCGUGUGGAGGCGGGGGGGGGGGGG